rnacentral:rRNA from 1 species
UACGAAGGGGGCUAGCGUUGCUCGGAAUUACUGGGCGUAAAGCGCACGUAGGCGGAUUGUUAAGUCGGAGGUGAAAUCCUGGAGCUCAACUCCAGAACUGCCUUCGAUACUGGCGAUCUCGAGUUCGGGAGAGGUGAGUGGAACUGCGAGUGUAGAGGUGAAAUUCGUAGAUAUUCGCAAGAACACCAGUGGCGAAGGCGGCUCACUGGCCCGAUACUGACGCUGAGGUGCGAAAGCGUGGGGAGCAAACAGG